GAUCCCCGGUCUCGGCACCUCUGGUCCCGGUGGCGCCGGCUGCGGCCGCAGACGGAGAAGGCGGCGGCGGAGGCACCGACUCGAGCUUGACCAGGGUCAGCGAGAUGAGGUAGGCAGCUGAGACUGGAGCGGCUGGGAGACCAGGCUAUGAUGAAGGAUGUACUUCUCCCAGACACCUUUCAGGAACAACAUGGCUGGCUUUUGUCAGCUCUUUGCCACCUCAGAGCUGGAGAACAAGAGGUCACUGAUCCUUUGUGGGUCCUGGGAAUGAGCACAUUAUCCAGUCCCAGAACCUCCUGCCCCACACUGCUUCCUGCCCUGGACUCCCCAGGCACGGUCCAAGGCUACCCUGGGUCUGUCACGGCCUCCCUUCCCCAUGCUCACCCACUUCUCCAUUGCCAAGAAGGUCAGCUCAGCAGUGACUUGUAUUUUGAUCCCCUGGGAGAAGGAUCAGAGUUGGGGAAAGAGGAAGAACGACACCUCCCAUAUCUUUUUUCCAUCCUGUCCAAAUGUAUUCUCCCCCCGAGUCCCAGCUCCAUCUAGAGGACUAGGAAGUGGCUGAUUGGGAAGUGAUGUAUGGCACAGCAAGCCCUUCUAUGCCUCCACUGGCCCCCGAUACACCCAAGUUGGGAGCUAACC